rnacentral:rRNA from 1 species
AUAAUAGCGAGUUUGAUGGUGGCUCUGAUUGAAUGCUAUUCAAAUGCUUGACACAUGCUAAUCGAACGCCUAGUUUAUUUAUAAUAAAAACUAGAAAGUGGUGUACAGGUGAGGAAAGGGUAUGUUUACUGCCUUAGAGCAAGGAGAAAUACCUUAUAAUAACAAAGAAAUUAUUAAAUAAAUAAUUUUGCUUUAAGAUGUUAUCUUAAUACCUCGGGUAAGUAGAGUAGUAGUUAAAGUAAUGGUUUAACUAGCUUUAUCUCGUAGUCGAGUCUGAAAGGUCCUUCGACCACAUUGGAACUGAGACAAGUUCAAUGCGAUUUUUUUUUUGCACUGCAGUGGGGAAUAUUGGUCAAUAGCCUAACGGCUGAACCAGCGAUUUGAAGGAAUGAAGAUCUACUUUGAAAUAUAAGAAGACUAAAAUUCUGGUUAGUAAAAUGAUAAUGACAAUUUUCUAUCUAAAUGUCUUGACUAAUUCACGUGCCAGCAGUCGCGGUAAUACGUGAGAGACUAGCGUUAUUCAUAUUUAAUUGGUUUAAAGGGUUACUAGACGGUAAUUUUUGCCUUUGAAUGGGGACAGAGUUACUAGAGUUUUAUGUGAAAAGUAUAUUUAGAACUCAUGGUGUAGAACUGAUAAUUUAAAAUACUAUGGGGAAUGAUAAAGGCGAAGGCAAACUUUUAUGUAAAAACUGACGUUGAGGAACGAAGGCAAGGACAGUGAAUAGGAUUAGAACCCUAGUAACCCUAGCAGAAAAUGAUGAGUGCCAUAGGUUGUAUUAAAUUAAAAUCGCCUAUAAAUGAAAAUGUAAGCAUUCCACCUCAAGAGUAAUGUGGCAACACAGAAACUGUAACCAUUAGACCAACUCCGAAACUAGUAGUGAAGUGUGUUAUUUAAUUCGAUGAUCCACGAAAAAUCUUACCACAAUUUGAAUAUUUAGUGACAAGAAAUUAAUUUAAUUUUUGUAAAAAAAAUAAUGUUUUUUUUACUUCUUUUUACAAGUGUUGCACGGCUGUCUACAGUUGUUGCCGCGAGGCUUUGGUUGGCUCCAACAAGUGACGUACACCCUAAUUUUAUUUAAAACUAAUUUCAUUUUAUGAAAUAAAUUAUAAAGUUAUUCAUCUUGACAUGAGAUGUAUUUAUGGGAUAAAGACAAGUCCUCAUGACCUUAAUAUUGUGGGCUAUAGACGUGCCACAUUAGCUAAAACAAAGGGAUGCUAAAAUGUGAAUAUUCGCUAAUCCCUAAACAGGAUAUAAUAUGGAUUGUAUGUCUGAAACUCGACUACAUGAAUAAGGAAUUACUAGUAAUCGUGCAUCACCAUGGCACGGUGAAACUUAUCUCGGAUAGGUACUAACUACUCGUCAAGCACUGAAAGGAGCACACGCAAUAAGUUGAGUUUAGUUUAAAUCAUAAUAUAGUAAUUAGACUAUUAAGAUGGUUUAGGAUAGAUUUUCGAAUGUAUGGCUGCAAUUGGUGUUAAGUCGAAAUACGGUUGUUGUAGAGGAAUCUGCAGCGGACUUAUAAAAAAAUUAACAAUACCCCCCUAUAAUUUAAUACCCCCUAUAGUUCAAAACUUCAACUUUAUAUAGGUAAAAAGUUCUGGUUCAAAUCCGGAAUAAAGUAAUGUUUUUUUACUAGUAACACAUUUUUAUUGAAUAUCAAUGCGGGCACUUUGAGCCCAGAAAGAAAAUUAUUAAGGGUAGUCACUCUUAUACUGCUAUAUUAUGUGGUUCUAUGUUAUGACAGCUUCUAUAUUAGAAUAUUCGACACAGUAAUAGGCAUAAAUGAUGAUUUAUUCCAUUCAGCGUCCAUAACGUAUAGUUUUGCCCUUUUAGUAGGAGCUAUUAUGUUACAAUUAGUUGUAUAUUACCCUAGACGUUUACAAGAACCAAUAGGAGCUACACAAAAGAAAAUGUCUUUUUUCUUGUUAACCCAUUAUACAAUUAUUCUUUUAGGGUCUUUAUUGGUUAUAUUUUUCAGCUUGUUCUACACUUCAGAUUAUUCUCUUUGUUUACUUGUCCCUAUAAAAAUUUACGAAAAUGCUGGUGCCUCUAAACUUAAAAUAUAUUCUGAGAAUAAGGGAAGAGCAGGAAUCUAUUUAUGAAGAAAUCUGAAAGACAAUAAAAAAUAUUUAGGCUCAGCUGUAAAUCUACCGUUUAGAUUUCGAGUGUAUUUUAGUAAAAAAGGCCUAUUAAAUAAUUUUUCUAUGAUAAUUUGCCGUGCUUUAUUGGCCUAUGGUCAUUCUAGCUUUUCUCUAGAAAUUCUUGAAUAUUGUGAGCCUUCUCACUGCAUUGAAAGAGAGAAAUACUAUAUUACAUUACUUUCUCCAGAAUACAAUAUAGUUCAAGAUCCUACUAAAAACCCUAUGUACGGUCGUAAACAUUCUCAAGAAACUAUAAAAAAAAUAAGUAAAGCUAAUACAGGAAAGAAUACAGGAGAGAAUAAUCCUAAAAAAAAGCGCUAUUGGUUUUUAUCUACAUAAAAAAAAACAAAGUAAGUUGAAACAUUAUAUAAAAGAAAAUAAUUAAUAAUAUCCCUUGCCUUUUCAACUUACAAAUAUUACAAUUAAGAUUUUUAACAUUAGUCGAAAAAUUAUUUUUCUCUGAAAAAGGGUCUAUAAAUAAAAAUAAAAAUAUAAUAUGAUAUGAAUUCUUAAUCCUUAUUUUAUAACUGGUUUUUCAGAUGCUGAAAGUUCAUUUGUUUGUUCAAUUAGAAAAAAUAAUAAUAUAAAAAUAGGUUGGCGUAUAACAUUAUCUUUUCAAAUACAAUUACACAAACAAGAUCUACCAUUAUUAAACCAAAUACAAGCCUUUUUUGGUGUAGGAAAAAUUUAUGAAUCUAAAGAAAAGAUAUUGUACCAAGUACGGUCUGUCCAAGAUUUAAUAAAUGUAAUUAUUCCUCAUUUUAAUAAGUAUCCAUUAAUUUCUCAAAAAAGAGCCGAUUUUGAACUUUUUAAAUUGGUUGUUGAAUUAGUAAAUAGUGGUGAGCAUCUUACCAUUGAAGGAUUAGCUAAAAUUGUAAGUAUCAAAGUCUCCCUAAAUAAAGGCUUAUCUGAAGUAUUAAAAGCAAAUUUUCCUAAUAUCACAGCAUUUCCUAGGCCCCCAAUUGACACUCAAAAAAUUAAAGAUCCUCAUUGAUUUGCUGGAUUCACAAGUGGCGAGGGAUGUUUUAUGGUAAAAUAUACGAAGUCUUCAUUUUUAAAAUUAGGAAUGGGAGUUUUUUUAAAUUUUAAUAUUUCUCAACAUUCACGUGAUUCUGAACUAAUGAAUAGUUUAAUAAAUUAUUUGGAUUGUGGAAGAAUAACAAACAAAAAAGAUAAAGAAGCUGUAAUUUUUGAAGUCAAUAAAUUUUCUGAUCUUAAUGAAAAGAUUAUACCAUUCUUCAAAAAAUAUUCUAUUGAAGGCUAUAAAAAGGCCAACUUUUGUGAUUUCUGUAAAAUUGCUUUGUUAAUGCAGGAUAAGCGCCAUUUGACUAGUGAAGGACUAGAACAAAUAAUAAAUAUUAAAAAUGGAAUGAAUACAGGAAGAAAAUAAUUAUAUAAUUUAUUCUUAAACUUAUCCUGUUAGGUAUUAUUCUAUUAGGCUUCAUUCUUGGUUUUACUUAGUUUCAUCCUUGGUUUUUUUUUAGUUUCUUUCUUUUAAUCGCGUGUUUAUAUUUAAUUUAUUCUUUAGUAAAUUAAUUUAAAAUGUAAUGCAAUUUAUUUUUUUUUUCCUUUGGUUUCUUUUGGUUUGUUCCCCCCCCCUUAAGAGGUUUAGGUUUAAUAAUAAACCUAAAUCAAAGUCAAAUAAAUAUAUAGAAUGGAUACAGUAGAAAUACUGGUAAAUAAAUAAACUUCGUCUCAGGUCUAAAUACAUAUGUAAUUAAUCUAUGUACAUGAUCGAAGAAGAAAAAAAUGAUACGGUUGUUGUAGGUGAACCUGCAGCGGACAAAUUAUAAAA